rnacentral:ncRNA from 27 species
GUCGGGAGGGCGACGAAUACAACACCCUUACGGGGAAUAAGUCCGCGGUCUCACUGAGCCGUUUCGAACCUCCCGGCACCACUCC